rnacentral:tRNA from 2 species
GUCCUUGUCGAUUAGUGGUUAAAUCAUCACGUUGUGGCCGUGAGGCCGGAAGUUCGAAUCCUCCCAAGGACA